rnacentral:rRNA from 1 species
GGGAYUGAGACACGGCCCAGAYUCYUACGGGAGGCAGCAGUNGGGAAUAUUGCACAAUGGGCGCAAGCCUGAUGCAGCGACGCCGCKUGCGGGAUGACGGCCUUCGGGUUGUAAACCGCUUUCAGCAGGGAAGAAGCUUUUGUGACGGUACCUGCAGAAGAAGCGCCGGCUAACUACGUGCCAGCAGCCGCGGUAAUACGUAGGGCGCGAGCGUUAUCCGGAAUUAUUGGGCGUAAAGGGCUCGCAGGCGGUUUGCCACGUCUGCUGUGAAAGCCCGGGGCUUAACUCCGGGUGUGCAGUGGGUACGGGUAGACUAGAGUGCAGUAGGGGAGACUGGAAUUCCUGGUGUAGCGGUGAAAUGCGCAGAUAUCAGGAAGAACACCGAUGGCGAAGGCAGGUCUCUGGGCUGUUACUGACGCUGAGGAGCGAAAGCAUGGGGAGCGAACAGGAUUAGAUACCCUGGUAGUCCAUGCCGUAAACGUUGGGCACUAGGUGUGGGGGACAUUCCACGUUUUCCGCGCCGUAGCUAACGCAUUAAGUGCCCCGCCUGGGGAGUACGGCCGCAAGGCUAAAACUCAAAGGAAUUGACGGGGGCCCGCACAAGCGGCGGAGCAUGCGGAUUAAUUCGAUGCAACGCGRAGAACCUUACCAAGGCUUGACAUGSACCGGAUCGCUGCAGAGAUGUAGUUUCCCUUCGGGGCUGGUUCACAGGUGGUGCAUGGNUUGUCGUCAGCNUCGUGUCSNUGAGAUGUUGGNGUUAARUCNCCSCAACNRAGCGCAANCCCUUGUCCUAUNKUUGCCAGNCASKUAGUGGUNNGGGGAYUCAUGGGARNACUGNCCGGGGUCMA